UGGCUUCUGCAGCACAUAGGUCCAACUGAAAUGAUACAGAGAAGGUCAGCAUGGCCCCUGCACAAGGAUCGCAUGGCAAUGUGUGAAGCAUUCCUUAUUUUU